rnacentral:rRNA from 1 species
UUCCGGUUGAUCCUGCCGGAGGUCACUGCUAUUGGGAUUCGACUAAGCCAUGCGAGUCGAGAGGGUUCGGCCCUCGGCUGACGGCUCAGUAACACGUGGAUAAUCUGCCCUUAGGUGGAGGAUAACCUCGGGAAACUGAGAAUAAUACUCCAUAGGUCUAGGAGGCUGGAAUGCACUUAGACUGAAAGCUCCGGCGCCUAAGGAUGAGUCUGCGGACUAUCAGGUAGUAGUCAGGGUAAAGACCUGACUAGCCUACGACGGAUACGGGUUGUGAGAGCAAUAACCCGGAGACGAUAUCUGAGACACGAUAUCGGGCCCUACGGGGCGCAGCAGGCGCGAAAACUUCACACUGUGCGAAAGCACGAUGAGGGAAUCCCAAGUGCCAGCUCGUAAGAGUUGGCUGUUUUUCUGUCUAAAAAACAGAGAGAGUAAGGGCUGGGUAAGACGGGUGCCAGCCGCCGCGGUAAUACCUGCAGCUCAAGUGGUGGCCAUUAUUAUUGGGCCUAAAACGUCCGUAGCCGGUUUAGUAAAUGCCUGGGUAAAUCGCGUAGCUUAACUAUGCGAAUUCCGGGUAGACUGCUAGACUUGAGACCGGGAGAAGCUAGAGGUACUCCUGGGGUAGAGGUGAAAUUCUGUAAUCCUAGGGGGACCACCAGUGGCGAAGGCGUCUAGCUAGAACGGGUCUGACGGUGAGGGACGAAACCCUGGGGCGCAAACCGGAUUAGAUACCCGGGUAGUCCAGGGCGUAAACGCUGCUUGCUUGAUGUUAGUUGGGCUCCGAGCCCAAUUAGUGUCGGAGAGAAGUUGUUAAGCAAGCUGCCUGGGAAGUACGGUCGCAAGACUGAAACUUAAAGGAAUUGGCGGGGGAGCACAGCAACGGGUGGAGCGUGCGGUUUAAUUGGAUUCAACGCCGG